rnacentral:rRNA from 1 species
AUGUUGAUGAAACUCCCCAUCUCUCAUUGUACAACCGUCUUGCCUCAGAUUUGUAGUGAGGUUGCUCGUGUCUAUAUGGCUCAUAUCUUGUACUCUGCACCCUGCUAG